rnacentral:rRNA from 1 species
UACGAAGGGGGCGAGCGUUAUUCGGAAUCACUGGGCGUAAAGCGUGCGUAGGCUGCUUGGAAAGUUGGAAGUGAAAGCCCAGGGCUCAACCCUGGAAUUGCUUUCAAAACUACCAGGCUAGGAUUUGGGAGAGGAUAGCGGAAUUGUCAGUGUAGCAGUGAAAUGACGUAGAUAUUGACAGGAACACCAGUGGCGCAAGCGGCUAUCUGGACCAACAUCGACGCUGAGGCACGAAAGCGUGGGGAUCAAACAGG